rnacentral:rRNA from 1 species
UACGUAGGGUGCAAGCGUUGUCCGGAAUUAUUGGGCGUAAAGAGCUCGUAGGCGGUUUGUUGCGUCGGCUGUGAAAUCCCGAGGCUCAACCUCGGGUCUGCAGUCGAUACGGGCAGACUAGAGUUCGGUAGGGGAGACUGGAAUUCCUGGUGUAGCGGUGAAAUGCGCAGAUAUCAGGAGGAACACCGGUGGCGAAGGCGGGUCUCUGGGCCGAUACUGACGCUGAGGAGCGAAAGCGUGGGGAGCGAACAGG